rnacentral:misc_RNA from 1 species
AAAUGUGAUAAGUAAUGUGAAUUGCAGAAUUCAGUGAAUCAUCGAAUCUUUGAACGCACAUUGCGCCCCCUGGUAUUCCGGGGGGCAUGCCUGUUCGAGCGUCAUUUCACCACUCAAGCCUCGCUUGGUAUUGGGCGAUGCGGUCCGCCGCGCGCCUCAAAUCGACCGGCUGGGUCUUUCGUCCCCUCAGCGUUGUGGAAACUAUUCGCUAAAGGGUGCCGCGGGAGGCCACGCCGUAAAACAACCCCAUUUCUAAGGUUGACCUCGGAUCAGGUAGGGAUACCCGCUGAACUUAAGC